rnacentral:rRNA from 1 species
CGGAGGAUCCGAGCGUUAUCCGGAUUUAUUGGGUUUAAAGGGAGCGUAGGUGGAUAGUUAAGUCAGUUGUGAAAGUUUGCGGCUCAACCGUAAAAUUGCAGUUGAUACUGGCUGUCUUGAGUACAGUAGAGGUGGGCGGAAUUCGUGGUGUAGCGGUGAAAUGCUUAGAUAUCACGAAGAACUCCGAUUGCGAAGGCAGCUCACUGGACUGCAACUGACACUGAUGCUCGAAAGUGUGGGUAUCAAACAGGAUUAGAUACCCUGGUAGUCCACACAGUAAACGAUGAAUACUCGCUGUUUGCGAUAUACAGUAAGCGGCCAAGCGAAAGCAUUAAGUAUUCCACCUGGGGAGUACGCCGGCAACGGUGAAACUCAAAGGAAUUGACGGGGGCCCGCACAAGCGGAGGAACAUGUGGUUUAAUUCGAUGAUACGCGAGGAACCUUACCCGGGCUUAAAUUGCAGUGGAAUGAUGUGGAAACAUGUCAGUGAGCAAUCACCACUGUGAAGGUGCUGCAUGGUUGUCGUCAGCUCGUGCCGUGAGGUGUCGGCUUAAGUGCCAUAACGAGCGCAACCCUUAUCUUUAGUUACUAACAGGUCAUGCUGAGGACUCUAGAGAGACUGCCGUCGUAAGAUGUGAGGAAGGUGGGGAUGACGUCAAAUCAGCACGGCCCUUACGUCCGGGGCUACACACGUGUUACAAUGGGGGGUACAGAAGGCAGCUACCUGGUGACAGGAUGCUAAUCCCAAAAGCCUCUCUCAGUUCGGAUCGAAGUCUGCAACCCGACUUCGUGAAGCUGGAUUCGCUAGUAAUCGCGCAUCAGCCAUGGCGCGGUGAAUACGUUCCCGGGCCUUGUACACACCGCCCGUCAAGCCAUGAAAGCCGGGGGUACCUGAAGUACGUAACCGCAAGGAGCGUCCUAGGGUAAAACUGGUAAUUGGGGCUAAGUCGAAACAAGGUAGCCGUACC